CUGACAGUCCGAACGAGCCCCUGGUUUUCGGCAUGCGAAUGGGCAAAUGAUGCGUUUCCAGGCUUCCAGCCGGCAUGCGAAGUGAGCAAGUACUGGCAGGUCGCCGUUCGAGAACUCGAUCGGCGAUGGAACAGGCGAACAGCCACAGGUCCAGAACAAUUAAAGCCCAGCCGUGCAUUCAGUCACACAUAAUAGUGCAAAUCGUGGGUUUCGCCGGACUUUG
rnacentral:lncRNA from 1 species